UAUACAGCGAAACUGCGAAUGGCUCAUUAUAUAAGUUCUUUUUUAUUUGAUAGUGCCUUACUACUUGGAUAACCGUGGUAAUUCUAGAGCUAAUACAUGCUAAAAACCCCGACUUCGGAAGGGGUGUAUUUAUUAGAUACAAAACCAAUGCCCUUCGGGGCUCUUUGGUGAUUCAUGAUAACUAUACGAAUCGCACGGCCUUGCGCCGGCGAUGGUUCAUUCAAAUUUCUUCCCUAUCAACUUUCGAUGUUUGGGUAUUGGCCAAACAUGGUUGCAACGGGUAACGGAGGGUUAGGGCUCGACCCCGGAGAAGGAGCCUGAGAAACGGCUACUACAUCCAAGGAAGGCAGCAGGCGCGCAAAUUACCCAAUCCCGACUCUGGGAGGUAGUGACAAUAAAUACUGAUACAGGGCCCUUUCGGGCCUUGUAAUUGGAAUGAGUACAAUUUAAAUCCCUUAACGAGGAACAAUUGGAGGGCAAGUCUGGUGCCAGCAGCCGCGGUAAUUCCAGCUCCAAUAGCGUAUAU
rnacentral:rRNA from 1 species